CCUGACUGCUAUCGGAUUGAUACUAAGCCAUGCGAGUCAUUGUAGCAAUACAAGGCAUACGGCUCAGUAACGCGUAGUCAACCUAACCUAUGGACGGGAAUAACCUCGGGAAACUGAGAAUAAUGCCCGAUAGAACACUAUACCUGGAAUGGUUUGUGUUCUAAAUGAUUUAUCGCCAUAGGAUGGGACUGCGGCCUAUCAGUUUGUUGGUGAGGUAAUGGCCCACCAAGACUAUUACAGGUACGGGCUCUGAGAGGAGUAGCCCGGAGAUGGGUACUGAGACACGGACCCAGGCCCUAUGGGGCGCAGCAGGCGAGAAAACUUUGCAAUGUGCGAAAGCACGACAAGGUUAAUCCGAGUGAUUUGUGCUAAACGAAUCUUUUGUUAGUCCUAGAAACACUAACGAAUAAGGGGUGGGCAAGUUCUGGUGUCAGCCGCCGCGGUAAAACCAGCACCUCAAGUGGUCAGGAUGAUUAUUGGGCCUAAAGCAUCCGUAGCCGGCUCUGUAAGUUUUCGGUUAAAUCUGUACGCUUAACGUACAGGCUGCCGGGAAUACUGCAAAGCUAGGGAGUGGGAGAGGUAGACGGUACUCGGUAGGAAGUGGUAAAAUGCUUUGAUCUAUCGAUGACCACCUGUGGCGAAGGCGGUCUACCAGAACACGUCCGACGGUGAGGGAUGAAAGCUGGGGGAGCAAACCGGAUUAGAUACCCGGGUAGUCCCAGCUGUAAACUAUGCAAACUCAGUGAUGCAUUGGCUUGUGGCCAAUGCAGUGCUGCAGGGAAGCCGUUAAGUUUGCCGCCUGGGAAGUACGUACGCAAGUAUGAAACUUAAAGGAAUUGGCGGGGGAGCACCACAAGGGGUGAAGCCUGCGGUUC
rnacentral:rRNA from 1 species